rnacentral:rRNA from 1 species
CCUACGGGAGGCAGCAGUGGGGAAUAUUGGGCAAUGGAGGAAACUCUGACCCAGCGACGCCGCGUGCGGGAUGAAGGCCUUCGGGUUGUAAACCGCUUUCAGUAGGGAAGAAGCGAAAGUGACGGUACAUACAAAAGAAGCACCGGCUAACUAUGUGCCAGCAGCCGCGGUAAUACAUAGGGUGCAAGCGUUGUCCGGAAUUAUUGGGCGUAAAGAGCUCGUAGGUCGUUUGUUACGUCGGAUGUGAAAACCUGAGGCUCAACCUCAGGCCUGCAUUCGAUACGGGCAAACUAGAGUUUGGUAGGGGAGACUGGAAUUCCUGGUGUAGCGGUGGAAUGCGCAGAUAUCAGGAGGAACACCAAUGGCGAAGGCAGGUCUCUGGGCCAAUACUGACACUGAGGAGCGAAAGUCUGGGGAGCGAACAGGAUUAGAUACCCUGGUAGUCCAGACCGUAAACGGUGGGCACUAGUUGUGGGAACCUUCCACGGUUUCUGCGACGCAGCUACGCAUAGUAGUCCCGCCGUCGGGUAGGUACGAGUCGCGAAGAAGUUAAAACGUUAAAGUUAGUAAGUUAAGUACGGUCGUUGAGUACGUUGCCGAACGGACGACCGACGAGGGAGGAGG